AGAGACAGCAGCCGCCACGGUAAUACGGAGGGAGCUAGCGUUGUUCGGAAUUACUGGGCGUAAAGCGCGCGUAGGCGGUUACUCAAGUCAGAGGUGAAAGCCCGGGGCUCAACCCCGGAACUGCCUUUGAAACUAGGUGACUAGAAUCUUGGAGAGGUCAGUGGAAUUCCGAGUGUAGAGGUGAAAUUCGUAGAUAUUCGGAAGAACACCAGUGGCGAAGGCGACUGACUGGACAAGUAUUGACGCUGAGGUGCGAAAGCGUGGGGAGCAAACAGGAUUAGAUACCCCAGUAGUCCCUGUCUCUUAUAC
rnacentral:rRNA from 1 species